rnacentral:rRNA from 1 species
CCUACGGGAGGCAGCAGUGAGGAAUAUUGGUCAAUGGAUGAGAGUCUGAACCAGCCAAGUAGCGUGAAGGAUGACCGCCCUAUGGGUUGUAAACUUCUUUUAUAUGGGAAUAAAAUGUUCCACGUGUGGGCUUUUGUAUGUACCAUAUGAAUAAGGAUCGGCUAACUCCGUGCCAGCAGCCGCGGUAAUACGGAGGAUCCGAGCGUUAUCCGGAUUUAUUGGGUUUAAAGGGAGCGUAGGUGGAUUGUUAAGUCAGUUGUGAAAGUUUGCGGCUCAACCGUAAAAUUGCAGUUGAAACUGGCAGUCUUGAGUACAGUAGAGGUGGGCGGAAUUCGUGGUGUAGCGGUGAAAUGCUUAGAUAUCACGAAGAACUCCGAUUGCGAAGGCAGCUCACUGGACUGCAACUGACACUGAGGCUCGAAAGUGUGGGUAUCAAACAGGAUUAGAUACCCCUGUAGUC